rnacentral:rRNA from 1 species
AUUGAACGCUGGCGGCAGGCCUAACACAUGCAAGUCGAGCGGAUGAAGGGAGCUUGCUCCUGGAUUCAGCGGCGGACGGGUGAGUAAUGCCUAGGAAUCUGCCUGGUAGUGGGGGAUAACGUCCGGAAACGGGCGCUAAUACCGCAUACGUCCUGAGGGAGAAAGUGGGGGAUCUUCGGACCUCACGCUAUCAGAUGAGCCUAGGUCGGAUUAGCUAGUUGGUGGGGUAAAGGCCUACCAAGGCGACGAUCCGUAACUGGUCUGAGAGGAUGAUCAGUCACACUGGAACUGAGACACGGUCCAGACUCCUACGGGAGGCGGCAGUGGGGAAUAUUGGACAAUGGGCGAAAGCCUGAUCCAGCCAUGCCGCGUGUGUGAAGAAGGUCUUCGGAUUGUAAAGCACUUUAAGUUGGGAGGAAGGGCUGUAAGUUAAUACCUUGCUGUUUUGACGUUACCAACAGAAUAAGCACCGGCUAACUUCGUG